rnacentral:rRNA from 1 species
UUAGUCUCAGUUCGGAUUGUAGGCUGAAACUCGCCUACAUGAAGCUGGAGUUGCUAGUAAUCGCGAAUCAGCAUGUCGCGGUGAAUACGUUCCCGGGCCUUGUACACACCGCCCGUCACACCAUGAGAGUUGGCAAUACCCAACGUACGUGAUCUAACCCGCAAGGGAGGAAGCGUCCUAAGGUAGGGUCAGCGAUUGGGGUGAAGUCGUAACAAGGUAAC